CAGCACCUCAAGUGGUCAGGAUGAUUAUUGGGCCUAAAGCAUCCGUAGCCGGCGCUGUAAGUUUUCGGUUAAAUCUGUACGCUCAACGUACAGGCUGCCGGGAAUACUGCAGCGCUAGGGAGUGGGAGAGGUAGACGGUACUCGGUAGGAAGGGGUAAAAUCCUUUGAUCUAUUGAUGACCACCUGUGGCGAAGGCGGUCUACCAGAACACGUCCGACGGUGAGGGAUGAAAGCUGGGGGAGCAAACCGGAUUAGAUACCCGAGUGUCC
rnacentral:rRNA from 1 species